rnacentral:rRNA from 1 species
UACGUAGGGGGCGAGCGUUGUCCGAAGUUACUGGGCGUAAAGCGCGCGUAGGCGGGUUGGCAAGUCUGCUGUGAAAGCCCGGGGCUUAACUCCGGAGGGUCGGUGGAUACUGCCAGUCUUGAAGGUGCUAGGGAGAGAUGGAAUUACCGGUGUAGCGGUGAAAUGCGUAGAUAUCGGUAGGAACACCAGUGGCGAAGGCGGUCUCUUGGGGCAUUCUUGACGCUGAGGCGCGAAAGCUGGGGGAGCGAACGUG